rnacentral:lncRNA from 1 species
GGAACACAAGGAGGCAGAAAGAACUGUGUCCCAAUGUUGUGAGAAGAGAAAGACACAAUGAACCACUGCUGGCUUUGAAGAUGGAAGAGGGAGCUGCAACCCAAAGAAUGCCUCUAGAAGCAGGAGAAGGCAAGAAACAGAUUCUCGCCUAGAGCUUCCAGAAAGGAGCACAGUGCCAGCACUUUGAUGUUAGCCAUUCUUAAGGAAGGUAAAUUCAACUCUAAGGAUGCAUUGGUGGAAUCUCUCUGCAAGUAACCCUGAGGAAAGGAGAAGAAGGGAAGGGAAAAUCACACAAGAAGCCUGGAAAGUGAGGAGGUAGUCUCAGAUCAGAUGCACUGUGGAGCCUAUGUCUAGAAGUGACUCUCCAGGGGAGCUAAAAUCCAUGUAUUUGGGCACACACUUGAACAAUAUUGCUAGAGAAAUUUAAGCAAGAGCACAAAGUUUUGCCAGGACGAUUAAAUAUCAUUGAUGCUUCUGGUCUACAAUUAGUCAGAGAAGAGAUUAAAAAAAUGAUGAGUAUUCAAGAAGGAAAGUGUUUGCUUUAACAUAUGAAGAAAAGGAGCUUCAGAGUGGUGAUUAACCCCAGAAUUGUGUGGAACGGAUAUGGAAACAAGACCACAGGAGCAUCGAGAACUGAGCAGAACUGAAGGUGACAUGAAAAUCAGCUGCAAGAUUCACCUCAGGGUGAUAAUGGGCUGCAGGUGGCUGCAGGAAUCCCGGGACAUUCUAGGCACUGCCAUAUUUUCUUAGGGGCCAGUAAGGAUGGCUAUCAUCAGAUGUACCUGAUGAUACAAACAUGGGCUGUCUUGCCUUCUAGUAUUCAUUCUUGAUGAUUGCAUCCAGAGCUCACUUUGGAGGUGCAGAUCAACUCUUCUUCAGGCUCAUCCAUGCGACUUGAGUGGGCUCUCAUCCCCAUUCCCAGGGGCUUAUGACAAUCAAGGUUUCCACUCCUCCAUGGUCUCAAUGGUUUUUCUCCCCAUGGGAAGCACAUAAUCCCAUUAGAGGCCACGGGAAGCUUUUUUGUUGGGCUUUGAGGGAAAAAAGGCUUUUGCAGCCAAUGAAUCGAUCAAUGUGUACUUCAACCUGGAUUGUAUGUAUGCAUCUCCUAGAUUGGGCGGAUGAUGAAGUGAGGCUGGAAGUGCUGAGCAUCUUCCUACCUGGGAUGACUGGGCUGAGCAGGAAGCCUACCCCGGGGUUCCAGCCAAGUUGGAGCCUGUGAGUGUGUGGUGUAGUUUAACGCCCUGAUUAAAUCACUAGGAAGCCAUUUCUCUCUCUCCUCCCAGACCAGAUCAGACAAUAUGUUCCCUUAUUUCUACUAAAGCCCCAAUUGGAUUUUGUGUCUUUUGAUACUGAAAGAAUCUUACCACAAAUAAAAUAAUUUGUCAUGUGGCUCCUACAUAUUUAUUCAGUUACAUAAACUAACUAAAUAAAUGAAUAAACUGUCAAUAAUGGUAGUUCCUCAUCUAUGAAUGACUCUUUACAAAGCCUAUCUCGCUUAAUAGUCAUAAUAAAUACUGAAGUAGAUACUAUUUAUACCUUUUUUUUAAAAGGAAUUAAAUAUUUUCAGGGUUAUACAAAGCAUGAGUAUUGUGGGUACAAAUUCAAGCUUUCUAACUCAAAUUUGAAGACUUAUCCCCAGGAUACUUUUACAUCUUUAGCUAGUACCAUGUAUACCUCAAAAGCUUACAUUAUUUUUCACAUGUGUUAGGUUUUGAGGGAUAAUCAAUAAGGAGGGCAUACUUUCAGGCUUCUUAUUUAUAACUGUGAAAUUUAGAAAUUGAUGGAGUAGCAGAUUUCUCGGUAGGAGACAGCUGUUUUAAAAUGCCCCAUGUUUUUAUUAAAGUAAAAAUCUCAAAAAUUGUCUUUUAAAAAGUGGCUCUGGCCAAUCUUAGAUAAAACAUCAUUUACUAGACUUAGGAAUUUCCUGUAGUAAAUUUCAGAUUUACUUUUCGGUCUCACAUCAUCAAAGAGAUCAUAACCCUUUGUGCAAUUAUGGUCUUGAACCAAGGCCUAUUCUCUAGGUCACUGCUGUCAGGACUUCAAGAUAAUUGUUUCCAUUGCAGGAUUUGAUUUUUAAUUCCCCGGAUGUUCUUGACGUGGUUCAGUUCUUCAGGAAAUCAUCACCCUCAUGAGCCCUCCCUGCCACUUGCAGAUAGGGCUUUCUCCCGGUAAGUUCUGGAGUCACGGCAGAGCUCAAUAAGUCUGAUUGGGACCUCCUAUGAUUAU